GACAGAGGGUGCAAACGUUGUUCGGAAUUACUGGGCGUAAAGCGCGUGUAGGCGGCUAUGCAAGUCGGAUGUGAAAGCCCUCGGCUCAACCGGGGAAGUGCACCCGAAACUGCAAAGCUAGAGUCUCGGAGAGGAUCGUGGAAUUCUCGGUGUAGAGGUGAAAUUCGUAGAUAUCUGGAGGAACACCGGUGGCGAAGGCGGCAUCCUGGACCGAGAUUGACGCUGAUGCGCGAAAGCCAGGGGAGCAAACGGG
rnacentral:rRNA from 1 species